CUGGUCAAGGUGGUUCCAAACUUGGUACUAAAAGGUAAAUGGUUUGUGGGAGCACUGAGCCCCAGUUACCCUGUCCAGAUGCUUUUGAAUGUGGACACCAAGCCAUUGUAUCAGGGCCUACGAUAGCCACUCUUCAAAAUCAUUGCAUCUUCAGUCAGGACUGAGAGGCCCAACUGCAUGUCAUGUAGCAGACCUGACCGCUUAAAAGGUCCACUGUAUACUUUAGAAUUCCUCAGAGUGUGAGGAGAACGGACCACGGGCCCAGGCACUAGAAGGAGCACUUUCUAGGUCUCUUGUUGUUGUUUAUUUGCUUUUGGGAUAGGCUUCCUCUGUACAGCCCUGGCUGUCCUGGAACUCUCUUGUGAUCAUUCUGGUCUCGAACUCAGAGACCCACCUGCCUCUGCCUCCCGAGUGCUGGGUUCAAAGGCAUGCACCACCACUGCCUGGCUCACUUUCUAGUUCUUAAUUUUUCUCUCUGUCCAUCUCGCUAUCUCACCCCUGAUUUCCUGUCCCCUGUCACUGGUCAACUAGGACUCUACCCAAGAAGAACCUGGAACAGAUCAGUGCCAACAUAACCAAGUAUAACAUCCAGGGCCUGGUUAUCAUUGGGGGCUUUGAGGCUUACACAGGGGGCUUGGAGCUGAUGGAGGGCAGGAAGCAGUUUGAUGAGCUCUGCAUCCCAUUUGUGGUCAUUCCCGCCACGGUUUCCAAUAAUGUCCCAGGGUCAGACU
rnacentral:lncRNA from 1 species